UCCUCGUUAGUAUAGUGGUGAGUAUCCCCGCCUGUCACGCGGGAGACCGGGGUUCCCCGACGGGGAG
rnacentral:tRNA from 1 species